rnacentral:rRNA from 1 species
AAUUCUGCACAAUGGGUGCAAGCCUCAUCCAGCCAUGCCGCGUGAGUGAUGAAGGCCUUCGGGCUGUAAACCUCUUCCGGACGGAUAGAAAUCGCGCAGGCUAAUACCCUGCGCGGAUGACGGUACCGGCAUAAGACACCCCCGCUAACUACGUGCCCGCAGCCGCGGUAAUACGUAGGGUGCGAGCGUUAAUCGGCAUUACUGGGCGUAAAGGAAGCGCAGGCGGUUGAUUAAGACAGGCGUGCAAUCCUCGGGCUUAACCUGGGAACUGCGCCUGUGACUGGUCAGCUAGAGUACGGCAGAGGGGAGUGGAAUUCCACGUGUAGCAGUGAAAUGCGUAGAGAUGUGGAGGAACACCGAUGGCGAAGGCAGGCCCCUGGGCCGAUACUGACGCUCAUGCACGAAAGCGUGGGUAGCAAACAGG